GACGAACGCUGGCGGCGUGCUUAACACAUGCAAGUCGAACGGAAAGGCCCUGCUUUUGUGGGGUGCUCGAGUGGCGAACGGGUGAGUAACACGUGAGUAACCUGCCCUUGACUUUGGGAUAACUUCAGGAAACUGGGGCUAAUACCGGAUAGGAGCUCCUGCUGCAUGGUGGGGGUUGGAAAGUUUCGGCGGUUGGGGAUGGACUCGCGGCUUAUCAGCUUGUUGGUGGGGUAGUGGCUUACCAAGGCUUUGACGGGUAGCCGGCCUGGGAGGGUGACCGGCCACAUUGGGACUGGGAUACGGCCCAGACUCAUACGGGAGGCAGCAGUGGGGAAUAUUGCACAAUGGGCGGAAGCCUGAUGCAGCAACGCCGCGUGCGGGAUGACGGCCUUCGGGUUGUAAACCGCUUUCGCCUGUGACGAAGCGUGAGUGACGGUAAUGGGUAAAGAAGCACCGGCUAACUACGU
rnacentral:rRNA from 1 species